rnacentral:lncRNA from 1 species
GUAUCCGCGCGGCGGCGGCGUAAAAGCAGGGUAUCCGGCCGCCGCCGGCGGGUAAGCAGGGUAACCGGUCGCCGGCGGGUAACCAGGGUAACCGGCCGGCGGCGGGUAUGGCUGCGGCCCGUAGGGUGGGUACGCGACGGAGCCGGUGCCGGCGGCGGGAUACGCCAUCACGGGCUCGUGCGCCUUCGGUGCCUUCGGCGGCAGCGGGUAUGGCUGCGCCCCGUAGGGUGGGUACGCGGCGGAGCCGGUACCGGGGGCGGGAUACGCCAUCACGGGCUCGUCCGCCUUCGGUACCUUCGCCGGCGGCGGGUAGGCGCAGCCGGAGGGAUACGCGGUCACGGUCUCAUCGGACAUGGGGACUCCCGACGGGAGCGGGUUGGCCACCGGCGGAGACGGCGCGGGGGCCGCGAUCUCCUCGCCGACCAUGUAUAAGAGUUUGAGGACGCCUUUCGGCUCGCCGGAGGUGCACUUGCGGACCUGGUAGCUGACGAACUUGGGCCCGUUGCCGGCGGCGGCGUCGAGGAGCUCCGACAGGGGGAUGCGAACCUCGCCGACGUCGCGGUCGCCGAGGGUGCGCUCGGCGCGGAGGAGGAUAUGGAGGACCUGGCGCCCAUAGUUGUCAGCAGGGACGUUGAAGCGGAAGGUCGAGUUCCAGGUGGGGUUCCGGUCGCCCUCCCGAUCGGGAGGCGUCCGCUGCCGCGAGCGGGGAUCGCCGAAGAGCGACACCACCGCGUAGACUUCCAUCUUGGAAAACAAAUUGACCUGCUUGAGGUCCUUGGCCGAGAUCAGGGUGACCUCCAGGGUCCUGUACGCCAUGAUUGAAGACGAAAUUCGAGAUCGAAGGCGAACAAAGGUUAGGGUUUCAAAGGGAUCGAAUCGAAGGCGGCGAAGGAGUGGACUUGGG